AUCAUUUCAAUCACUUUGUUUCGAUGUUUAUCACUUUUGCUCUUAUUAAAAUAAAAUGUGCACCUCUAAUAUUCCUGUGCUCCUCAAAUUUCAGUUUGUCACUUGGAAGUGAACAGAUAUGUCUGUUUAGUCUUGUUGUAGCAGUAUAAUUCUCUGAGUUUCGAUUGGGAAAAUUCAAAUGACUUCGAAAAUUAACAGAUAAUAUUUGUUUCAUUCAUUGCAGUAAGCAUAAUUUGAUAUUUAAGUGAUAGUGCUUAUGAAUUGGUAGAAUUAUCGGACUAUCUCGGAAGUGUCAGAAUCAUACUUAAUUAUCUAUGAACAUAAUAUAUCCUAUGUGACCAUAGUAAUACGUGCCCCAUUGUUUAAAAGCACUUGACCUGGUUGUUUGCCAUUACAUUUGCUUCGAGAAGUUCUUCAAUCUAUGUUAUUGCAAUACACACUAAAUAAUCUGAAGGCAUCGCUCUUUUCUUCUGCCAUAUUUUUGGAUGGCUUGUGAAACAAAGAUCUAUUUUCACACAUUAUCACUAUGUCUGUAAGCCAGACAAUCAAAAUUACCAUUGAGAAAUGUCGACAGAUAAAACCUCGACAUAAAAAAAAUAUCUUAGUUUAAAGGUAUAUUUUAAACCGUUUCGACAAAAGUUAUAUGUUUCAGCCAACAAGAAGUAUGUUGAGUUAUAUGGUUCAGCCAACAAAUGAUAUAUGGAUUGACUGAGUGUGUUGAUCGAGUCCACCUCUGUUGGACUCCUGCUUUUUUGAGUUACCUUUUGUUCAUUGUUGUUACCAAGUAGAAAUAUUCCAGCCUUUGAGCACUAAAGUGCAUCCUUCAUAUUUUCUCCGAGGUUCGUUUUCUUGGAUAACCAUGUGUAUGUUCUUGGUUAACCAUGGAUCAUAUUUUCUCAUAGUUGGUUCCUCUGUUUACUCAUAAUAGUGUAGCCUUCUAGAUUAUGUACGAGUUCUGUAUAGAGUUACUAAUGUAGUUCUUGUAUACGACUCUGAUGCAGCCAAAAGAGUCCAGUGAGGAAUGGACUAUUUUUGCUAUUAUAUAUUUGUCUUGUGUUGUGAAUGAGGAAAUGGAGUUAUUAGUCCAAGUAUCAUUUUUCAUCAGGUGUUCAUGGACAAUUGUUCACGCUCUUCUCAGAUUAUGGGCAUAUGAGCUCACACGGUUUCAGUUAUAGUGUCAUCAGACCGUGGCAGUAGGUAGUGUCAUGUUAAUGUGAGACUUUGAGAUAGAUCUAGGGAACUAAAUAAAUGUAGACUUUCACAGGAGAUGAAUAAAUUGUGGUUAGUGUAUAAGUGACACAAUUUCGGCUAGAGAAAAAAGGGAACCUUCUUAUAUAUAUAAUAUGCGUAACGAAUUAUUUUCCCCACGAUGAUUCAAAAUUGAGCUAUGCAUGUUUCCAGUCCUUCUCACUGUGUUAUUCGUGCAUUCUAGAUGUAUUACUUCAGUAUUCAGGGUGAGGUUACUACUAACUAACCAAAGAAAGAGAGAUGGUUCUGUUCUAUUCAAGUUUUUUCUGCAUUCUAUUUUUGUGAAACAAUUACCGGAAGAAGAUUUAUCCCUAUAAAAUAAAGUAUGUUAUUACGACAGGUUUUGUGACUAUUUGAGUUAGUUUUACAUUGAAAGUUAUUUACCUUGGUGCAAAAUUUCGCAGCGGAUUUUUUUAUUCGAUGAAAAGUGACCAGUAGCAGAGGGACAUUUCUAAUGCCCACUGCCAUUUGAUGAAACACAGGUAUACAAUCUCUUUUCGCUAUUCCAAAGUUCAUCUUCAGGUACAUUUUUCAGAUAUAUCAGGAUGGUGGAACUGGAUGCAACCUUAUGUCGUAGGCUGAUCAGAACUCAAGAAACUAGCAGACCGCAAUGAUGGUUACCAUCCAGGAUCGUCGGCAGACGUUGAGUAUAGAAGUGUUAUUUGGACUCACCAAAAAAGAUUUGUUCCUUCAAUUAUUAUUGUAUGUAGCUCCAGCCUUUUGUUAACCGGUGAUGGAUCCAGAGGCAGAAGAGUUUGGGCCACUCACAGUGAUGGAACGCUACAACACAGGUGUUAAUCUGGAAGUGGAUGAUUAGCAAAUUCCUGCAGAAUCGUUCCAGAAGGGUUUCAAUGUUCCAUUAUAAAUUUGAGAACAUUUUCAGAGAAUGCACACAUAAGUACCAUCAUUUGAGUUCUAUAAUGUACCUAUGGUAGUAGUAUGCUUAAGUAAUGUUUUGUACCCAUGAUAUUGCUGGUCUACUUUAUUUAUGUAUAAAUUAGUUCGUACUUG